CUAUGUUACAUCGAAUAUUCAUUUUCUUGAAAUUUGAGCAGUUGCUGUCUAUUUGAAGCAAUUGAUAGCAAAUGAAGAUAUAGUUUUAAGUGAAAUGGCAAAGAAUAUGAAAGAAAAAUUUGAUAAGUAUUGGGGUGAUCCAGGGAAAAUGAACAAGAUAAUUUUUAUCUCAUGUAUUUUGGAUCCACGAUACAAGAUCGAAUCAGUUGGCUUUGCACUUGUAAAGAUGUUUGGUAUAGAUCCGGGGGCAACUAUACAAGCAGAAGUAACGAAAUACAUGACUUCAUUAUUCAGUGAGUAUGUAAAGUCCAGCUCAAAAGGUGUUGUGCUUGCUUCAUCUUCAGAUUGUUCUUCAUUGGACACUUCGACUUCCGGGCUUUCUGGAAAUCAAGCAACCAUCCAAAAUAUAGGACUUUUAGAAUCACUCAUGCAAGAUAUAAAAAAAUAUAAAAGUGGGAGUGGAGGUGUUGAUACUAGAACAGAGUUAGAUAAAUAUUUAGGUGAAGAAACUUAGGAUGACACUAAAGAAUUUGAUGUUCUUCUUUGGUGGAAAUUGAACUCAGCUAGAUUUCUAUUCUUGCGGAGAAGGCUCGUGAUAUAUUAGUUGUUCCGGUUUCAAGUGUGGAAUCCGAAUGUGCAUUUAGUACGGGAGGACGUCUUCUUGAUUCAUUUAGGAGUUCAUUAACUCCUAAAUUGGUGCAAGCUCUAGUGUGUCUUCAAGAUUGGCUUCGAAAUGAAAAAUUAAAACAACUCAUUAGUGUUGAGGAAGAUCUUGAUAAAAUCGAGCAGAUUGAACAAGAUUUAGCCAACAAUGGAAAAGACCCUUCCGUAAUUGACGUGUAGUGUUAAUAUAUUUGGAGGACCUUUUGGAGUUGCAAGACGAGAAGCUUACUUCAACUAUGAGAGAACAACAACAACGGGCACUUGAGUUUUGGGAGUUGCAUUAAUGUUUAGCAUUCUGCAGUACCCCUCAAAAUAAAGCGUCUUGCUCGGAUAUUUUGUAGUAGUAUUAAGUACUUUUUCGGCACAGAAUGGAAGUGGUUUUUGUUAAAUGGUUGGGCGCAAAGUUUUGUUUCUGUAAGUGGUCUUAAAUG